rnacentral:rRNA from 1 species
UGGGUAUAAUUCCCGAUAGAUCUGAGAGGCUGGAAUGCACUCUGAUCGAAAGCUCCGGCACCCAAGGAUGGGUCUGCGGCCUAUCAGGUUGUAGUGGGUGUAAUGUACCUACUAGCCUACUACGGGUACGGGUUGUGAGAGCAAGAGCCCGGAGAUGGAUUCUGAGACACGAAUCCAGGCCCUACGGGGUGCAGCAGGCGCGAAACCUUUACAAUGCGGGCAACCGCGAUAAGGGGACCUCGAGUGCUGGCAUACAAUGUCGGCUGUCGUGAUGCCUAAAAAGCAUUAUAUAGCAAGGGCCGGGCAAGACCGGUGCCAGCCGCCGCGGUAACACCGGCGGCUCGAGUGGUGACCGCUAUUAUUGGGUUUAAAGGGUCUGUAGCCGGCCGGAUUAGUCUCUUGGGAAAUCUGGCCGCUUAACGGUCAGGCUUUCAGGAGAUACUGUCUGGCUCGAGGCCGGGAGAGGUGAGAGGUACUUCAGGGGUAGGGGUGAAAUCUUGUAAUCCUUGGAGGACCACCAGUGGCGAAGGCGUCUCACCAAAACGGACCUGACGGCAAGGGACGAAAGCUAGGGGCACGAACCGGAUUAGAUACCCGGGUAGUCCUAGCCGUAAACGAUACUCGCUAGGUGUCGGCCGCGGUGCGACCGUGGUCGGUGCCGUAGGGAAACCGUGAAGCGAGCCACCUGGGAAGUACGGCCGCAAGGCUGAAACUUAAAGGAAUUGGCGGGGGAGCACCACAACGGGUGGAGCUUGCGGUUUAAUUGGAUCCAACGCCGGAAAUCUCACCGGGAUCGACAGCAAUCUGAAGGCCAGGCUGAAGACCUUGCCGGAUUAGCUGAGAGGUGGUGCAUGGCCGUCGUCAGUUCGUACUGUGAAGCAUCCUGUUAAGUCAGGCAACGAGCGAGACCCCUACCG